AUCAUCUCAGACUGCAUUUACUUGUAUGUGUGUGUUUGCGCAUGUGUGUGCAACCAUUGUCUUCUCUUUACAUCUGUCAAAUACACAUCACUGGGCAGCUCCCCUAGCUUGUUGUUGUCUUUCUAACUACAUAACCACUGACUAACACAGCAGGGACCCACAUCCAGACAGCUUAUAAAAGAGGACAGUAAGCUCAUCUCGAAGAAUCAGUUGCAGUUAAGUCAGACCAAUUGUCGAGAAAAUAAAACAUGGGUCAACAACCUGUAAGAACACAGUACGUAGAGGACCAUGAAUCCCGACGACGGGCAGAGGCAGCAGAGGCAGAAAGGAGUCGAGUUCAGCAUGAAUACCUUCAGCUCCAGGCAGAGAAAGUGAGGAUGGAAACACAACAACGGAUGGCCAAAGAACAAGUAGAGGAGCUGGAGAGACAGAGAAAAAUACAUCAUGAAUCAGAAAGAAUGAAAGAAGAAGAUGAAAGGACCCGCAUACAUAAAGAACUGAAAGAAUCAAGAGGAGAUGAAAAAGAUGAAACUGUGGAAAAAGGAGAUGAUAAAGCUGUAGAAAAUGUGUCUAAGGUUGAGCAGUAGGGGAUCAUGUUAACCGUUAGAUGACACUGAACUUGUCAAUUAAUUAAUUAAUUGAGUUCACUUACAAAUCAUAAAAAUGUAAGAGUAGUCUUGUUUUACCAAAAGGCAUGUGUACGUACACGCGUCUCUUUUUAUUUUCGAUUUAAAUUAUUUUACAAGUAAUUGCAAUUGGCCUGAAAGUAUGAUAAAUUGGCCCGAAAUUAGCCUGAAAGUAUGAUAAAAUGGCCUGAAAUUAGCCUGAAAGUAUGAUAAAAUGUUAAUUAGUACAGUUUCAUUGGGUAUAAUUAUCUACAUCUUUAAUAUGGUAAAUUCCUACAUAACAGACAAGGGAAAAUAUUUAAAUGGAUUUGUCUUUUUAAAAAGAUGUAACACAUUUAACAUGUCAGUAAUUUCAUUAUAUAACUCAUACAUUUUUUUAUUUCUGCAUUUCUAAUUAUUUCUUCACAUGCAUAAUUAUUUGGCUGUCACACAUCGAAAUACAAAUAUUAAAUAUGCUGUUUAUGAUAUACCAACAACUCAAAUAAAACUAUUCAGGAAAUUA